rnacentral:rRNA from 1 species
GACGAACGCUGGCGGCGUGCCUAAUACAUGCAAGUCGAACGCAUUUUCUUUCACCGUAGCUUGCUACACCGAAAGAAACUGAGUGGCGAACGGGUGAGUAACACGUGGGUAACCUGCCCAUCAGCGGGGGAUAACACUUGGAAACAGGUGCUAAUACCGCAUAAUUCCAUUUACUGCAUGGUAGAUGGAUGAAAGGCGCUUUUGCGUCACUGAUGGAUGGACCCGCGGUGCAUUAGCUAGUUGGUGGGGUAACGGCCUACCAAGGCUGCGAUGCAUAGCCGCCCUGAGGGGGGAAUCGCCCCAACUGGAACUGGGAACCGGCCCGGACUCCUCCGGGGGGCGGCGGUGGGGAAUCUUCGGCAAAGAACGCAAGUCGGCCGAGCAACGCCGCGUGAGUGAAGAAGGUUGUCGGAUCGUAAAACUCUGUUGUUAGAAAAGAACAAGGAUGAGAGUGGAAAGUUCAUCCCUUGACGGUAGCUAACCAGAAAGCCACGGCUAACUACGUG